GUGAGGAAUCUUCCACAAUGGGCGAAAGCCUGAUGGAGCAACGCCGCGUGAAGGAUGAAGGUCUUCGGAUUGUAAACUUCUUUUAUGAGUGAAGAAUAUGACGGUAACUCAUGAAUAAGCACCGGCUAACUACGUGCCAGCAGCCGCGGUCAUACGUAGGGUGCAAGCAUUAUCCGGAGUGACUGGGCGUAAAGAGUUGCGUAGGCGGUUAUGUAAGCGAAUAGUGAAACCUGGUGGCUCAACCACACAGACUAUUAUUCGAACUGCAUAACUCGAGAAUGGUAGAGGUAACUGGAAUUUCUUGUGUAGAAGUGAAAUCCGUAGAUAUAAGAAGGAACACCAAUGGCGUAGGCAGGUUACUGGGCCAUUUCUGACGCUAAGGCACGAAAGCGUGGGGAGCGAACCGGAUUAGAUACCCGAGUAGUCC
rnacentral:rRNA from 1 species